AAGCUCGUAGUUGAAUUUCGGGGCUGGCCAAGUGGUUCAGCCGCAAGGUUGACACUGCUUUGGUUGGUUCUUUCCUUAUGGCCAACUAGUGUUCUCUUGAUUGAGUGCGCUAGCGAUCCAUAACUGUUACUUUGAAAAAAUUAGAGUGUUCAAAACAGGCUUAUGCCUGAAUAUAUUAGCAUGGAAUAACGGAAUGGGACUUUCGAUCUUAUUUUGUUUGGUUUCUUAGGAUUGACGUAAUGAUUAAUAGGGAUAGUUGGG
rnacentral:rRNA from 1 species